UGACUGGUAGCUCAGUGGAAGAGCAUCUGUACCGGAAUCAGAAGGUCCUGGGUUUGAAUCCCGGUCAAUCCA